rnacentral:lncRNA from 1 species
GUUUUUCGUUCAUUUUUGUACAUAGUUUUCUCAUUUGAAUUGUUUUACAUUGUUAUUUCGGGGCCUUUUAUAGCUGACUUUGUGGCAUGGGCUUUGAUCAUUGUUGAAGGCCAUACAGUGAACUAUAAUUGUUAAAUUCUGUGUCAUGUUGGUCUAUUGUUGAGAGUUGUCUCAUUGGCAAUCAUACCACAUAUAACUACAAUAAUAAGGGACAGUUGAAUCAGAAAAUAUUGUGUUUCCUACACAGAUGCAGAUGACAAUGUCAUAUUCUAUCCAACAUCAUGUUGAUGUAUUUCUAGUGGAUACACGUAGUAGGACUGAUGAGAGUACACUUCAUUAAUGUUCUAUUUUCUUGCCUUACAUUAACUGUUGUUAAAAU